rnacentral:rRNA from 1 species
AUUGAACGCUGGCGGCAUGCCUUACACAUGCAAGUCGAACGGUAACGCGGGGCAACCUGGCGACGAGUGGCGAACGGGUGAGUAAUGCAUCGGAACGUGCCCAGUAGUGGGGGAUAGCCCGGCGAAAGCCGGAUUAAUACCGCAUACGACCUACGGGUGAAAGGGGGGGAUCGCAAGACCUCUCGCUAUUGGAGCGGCCGAUGGCAGAUUAGGUAGUUGGUGGGGUAAAGGCCUACCAAGCCGACGAUCUGUAGCUGGUCUGAGAGGACGACCAGCCACACUGGGACUGAGACACGGCCCAGACUCCUACGGGAGGCAGCAGUGGGGAAUUUUGGACAAUGGGCGCAAGCCUGAUCCAGCCAUGCCGCGUGCGGGAAGAAGGCCUUCGGGUUGUAAACCGCUUUUGUCAGGGAAGAAAUCUUCUGGGUUAAUACCUCGGGAGGAUGACGGUACCUGAAGAAUAAGCACCGGCUAACUACGUGCCAGCAGCCGCGGUAA